rnacentral:lncRNA from 1 species
ACUAGUCAUACAAUCGCCUACUGCACCCAUUUGUACUGCAAUCGGAACGGCUGGUCUUCCUGACGCCAUUGAAUUUCUUGUUCCGCUAAACUCCGUUUUAAAAUAAUCUCUGUUUUUUCUUAUUCUAAUUUUUGAGCUCUCAGUACUCCUCGAUUUACUGUUAUUUUCUACAAAUAGUUUUAUUGGUUGAAUUGUAGGUGAAAACGUUGGAUUUUGAAAUACAAUAUAGUUAUUUUUAUUGGCGACCAAUUUGUGCCAAUCUGAAGAGCCACUAUUGCUUGUUUCAGUGGUACCCCCUAUUGAAAAAAUACCCAAUAG